AGUCUCUGGAGAACUCAUUGAAUUGAGUGCCGAAGGUGCAAGGCGAAAGCCGAAUCUCUCAGGCAAACGGACAGAGUACG
rnacentral:ncRNA from 1 species